rnacentral:lncRNA from 1 species
CGCGCUCUCACAGCGGAACCGGUAAUUUCUGAUUUUGAUGGGCAUUUUGCAUAAACCCUAGCUUUCAUCCCCAACCCCCCUCUUUUCCUCCAUUUGUCUUGUUCAAUGGGUUGCGAUUCUCUUUGUUUCGUUAUCUACCCUUCAUGGUGAUUGUGCUUCCUGAUGUAGGGACGAGGGUUUUCAAGGUUUAAUUUUUUUUUUAUUUUGUUUAUGAUUAGGAUGUGUUGUUUUGUUUUUUUGUCAGGUUGAAGCUGUGGCGUUGGGGUGGUGGGCUUACUCUCUGAAAUUUUUGACGUCUUAACUCUCGAGAGCUUCAGAAAGUGACCCUUUUGAUUUCAUUUCGGACUUUCGGUUACCAGGCGGCCUUUCAGCUGUUGCUGUUGGACGCAAGAUGGUAGGUUUUAACUCUCCGAUGAUUUCUCUUAUGGUUUAAUUUAUUUCGUUGACAGCUCCCUUUGUA